rnacentral:sRNA from 1 species
GCCAGGCGUGGUGGCACAUGCCUGUAAUCCAAGCAGCUCAGGAGGCUGAGACAGGAGGAUUGCUACUUCAAAGCCAACCUCAGCAAAAGCAAGGCACUAAGCAACUCAGUGAGACCCUGUCUCUA